GUGUUGUAUGAAAGAGAUUAGCACUCCUCUUAACAAGAAUGAAAGAAGCCUUGGGCCUGACAACAUACCUGAAGUUUGACUGGUUCCAUAAAUUGGUCUUUGU
ensembl:snRNA